UACACAUGUACAAAGGGACCGGAAACACAGAUGAAACCUGGUAGAGGAAGAAAGACAUUGCAAGAGAGAGAGCAGCUUAAGCAAAGACCAAGCAGGAAAGUGCUCCACAGUUUUGGAGAAUUUAGUCCAGCGUGGACCGGAGUGCAAGGUUCGCGACAGCGAGUGGCUGGAGGCAAGUGCCCUCCUCCCGGAAAAGGCAGCAGUCAUGGUCAUUGGCUUCUAGCACAGAGUAGUGAGAAAGAAGAACAUUCCCAGAAAUCCACCAUCAGAGUCUUACUCACAUCUAAUGGGCUAGUGCUGGUUACAGACCCAAGCUAAUUGGCAAAGAUGAAUGGGAUUACCAUAACAGGUUUAACCCAGCCCCAUUCAUGCUCCUCACCCCCUAGGGGUGGGCAUAUUGCUGCCUCAUACUUGAACAAAGAGCUAAAUGGCUAAUGGCUAUUGUGCUGGCACAUAUCCUUUCUGUUCCCCAGAGCCUGGGAGACCCCAGUUUGGUAGGAGAGUCCUAAUAAGACAGGCUGGACUGGGAGCAGGGUUUGUCUUCCAAGUUUUUGGCUGAUGGUAGUAAUGAAUGUCUAAGAGACUGGGCAUCAGGAUCAGGCUUAGAACCCAUUAGAAAACAAUCCGUUGUGUUUGUACUGAUUUGAGGUGAGCAUUUGUAUUUUCUUCUCUGCGAGGCUAAGCAGUCUUGGGACAUAUUAAAAAACAAAAGUAUGGUGCCGUAGAGCAGGACUAAACAUUAUUUGUGCAUUAUCUAGUGAAGGAAGAAAUAGUAUGUCUCUCACAGCUAUCUUCUGUUUUAAUAAAAUCACAGCAAUUACUUUCAUAA